UGUAUUAAAGAAUUAAAUGGAUGAAAUAUGAAGUUUUAUUAAAAGAAAAGGGUGAAAAGAACAAAGUUUUGUCCAUCUUUGUUCAUCAUAGCUGAAAGUUAGAGAAGAGAAAGGAGAGGAGAAAGCUCUUGAGUAUUCGGUCAUUAGGAGGAGGAAAAUUGAAGGAAAUCCCCAACCAUAGUGGGCUUGGAGCUGUGAGGGAAUUCGGAGUGGCCACCCGUUCUGAAAGUUUGAUUUUCUUCUAGUGAACUGAACAUCCUUUUAUUUACGUUUGAAGUUUUGGGUUUUUAAAUGUAAUAAGGCCGCUUAAUUAUUUUUGAUGGUUUUAAUAUGUAUUACUAAGAUAGAUAUUACUUA